rnacentral:rRNA from 1 species
UAGACCGAGCGACUCAGAGAACACGUGUAUCGGAGCGACGACAGCUGUCGUCGUGGGAUGGCCGGCCCGGUCGUCGCCCUCAUCUCAUGAUGGGUAGUGCGGGGCACGGCUAGGGACGGAUGAAAGCAAAAACCGGCGCAGCAUCGCGUCAAGGAAUAAUUCAAAAGCACGAGCCCCGCGUGGGGCUCGGUGGCGUGGGGUGCUUCGGCACGUUGCGCGGUUGGACAUGACUCUCGGCAAUGGAUAUCUCGGCUCUCGCAUCGAUGAAGAGCGCAGCGAAAUGCGAUACGUGGUGCGAAUUGCAGAAUCCCGCGAACCAUCGAGUCUUUGAACGCAAGUUGCGCCCGAGGCCGUCAGGCCAAGGGCACGUCCGCCUGGGCGUCAAGCGUUGCGUCGCUCCGUGCCACAGCUCUGACCGCAUCGCAGUGUGGAGUUUGAGGCUCGGAUGUGCAGAGUGGCCCGUCGUGCCCAUCAGUGCGACGGGUUGAAGAAAGGGCAACGUCUCGCAGGCCGCGAACAACAAGGGGUGGGUGAAUGCUGCGAGCACAACCUGCGUUGUCUCGUGUUGGCCCGAGAGAUGGAUCGCGCCUUCAAGGUGAUCCCGACCCAUGCACCGAUCCGCAUGCGGGCGGUGU